GAUCCUGGCUCAGGAUGAACGCUGGCGGCGUGCUUAACACAUGCAAGUCGAACGGGGAACCUUUUAUUGAAGCUUCGGCAGAUUUAGAUUGUUUCUAGUGGCGGACGGGUGAGUAACGCGUGGGUAACCUGCCUUAUACAGGGGGAUAACAGUCAGAAAUGACUGCUAAUACCGCAUAAGCGCACAGGACCGCAUGGUCCGGUGUGAAAAGCUCCGGUGGUAUAAGAUGGACCCGCGUUGGAUUAG
rnacentral:rRNA from 1 species